UAUAUAAACACUAGAUGGCUCAUGGGAGAUUUUCCAGCGUAGCUCACUGGCCGCCAUCUUGCUACAGUCAACAGCUACUCUGGUACGCGCUAUGGUAGCUGUUGUAAGGUUUCCCAAAACCGGAGAGAGGAGGAGGCAGUGGGAAGCUGCCCUAAGAAGGCAGGACACUGCUCUGCAGUGAGCACUUCAGUUGUGAGGACUUUGACAGGACGGGGCAGACUGUCCGGCUUAAAGAUGGUGUUGUGCCAACAGUAUUCAACUUCCCAGCUCAUCUUCAAAGGCCGGAAGCAACAAGAAGCACAACCACUUCAAGAAGAGCGGAAGAUGAACCUCAGCCUAAUGUUGUGAGUAUUCUGAAUGUGGCCAAGACCAGAGAGAUGGUCAUUGAUUUCAGGAGGGUGAGGACGUCUCCUCCUCUACCCCUGUGCAUUCUGGGAGAGGAUGUGGCUGUUGUGGAGGACUACAAAUACCUGGGAGUGCACUUAGACAAUGGGCUGAACUGGAGGAUCAACACUGAC